rnacentral:lncRNA from 1 species
ACAGAAAGUCCUUAGCAGCUGCGCGUCUUAUUCAUUCACGAUCAUCUGGGAGUAGCAUCAGGUUCCAGAGAAGAAAAGUUACCGGGAUGAAGACGUAGAACUCACGCGUGAUGGCCUUGCUCGCACCGGCAAGCAGUAAUUCAUGGGAGGAGUGCUGUUGGCAUCAGCAACAGGAAGGGCUACCAGCCAGAGGGGAGGCUGCACAGACAGGCUCCUCGUUUUUAACCUAGAUCUCAUGAUUAUGAAGAAUGCUUUAGGAUCCAAACUGGAAACCACAA